UUGCGAUGGCUUUUGCAGGCAAAUGCUCAUAAUAUCGAGUGAAAAUAAUGAAAACAAGCUUGAAGAAUAUUAUUAGCACUUAUUAACAUGUUUUACAGUAAUACUAUUUUGGAAAAUAUUUUCUAAGUCGUUUAAAAGUUAUCGCCAUUUAUCGCUGAAUGUGUCUGGAAAAUUGUGAGAAAUAGGCGUCAGAUGGAUCAAUGUGACCUUUUUAUGCUGAUGCUUGCUAAUCUGCUUUGUAUGUUUUCGGCACUGUCUUGAGCACAAAAUGUACUUGAUAAGAAUGUACUUCUGUAAGCAGGAGGAAACCACCACAUAUAUGGAGUAUUGGGGGUGGGGUUCAAGUGAAUUCAUCUCCUGAUCGAAGAGUGACUGCGAGGAAGGCAGUAUAAAGCAGCCGAAUCGUAUUUUACUAACAGUCCUGGUGUCAGAAGUGGGAUAUCUCCAGACAGUCACCGUGCCUAUAGGAGGUGUGGGGGAGAAAGUGAGCGGACAGCUACUGCUGGAGGGUGAUGAAGCAAUAAUUAACCCCAGACUAUGGGCUCAGCACAAAGACGAAGCUGGCCUUACAGAUGUGAAACCAUAUACAGCUAAAUUAAGCUGUAACCACUCCAGUAUACUGUAAGCAAUAUCCACUAUCAAUUGAAAAGGAAGAAGGUAUAAGGCCAAUCAUUGAGCAAUUGAUUGAACAAGGUAUUCUAAUACCAACACACUCUCCAUACAAUACUCCAAUAAAUCCUGUGAGAACGGCUAACGGAACAUGGAGAUUGACAUAAGAAUGAUUUAAUUGAACCACUUUCUCCAAUAGUUCCAGAUGUACAAACAAUUAUUAAUUCAAUACCAUCGACACAUGGUUAUUUUACUGUAAUUGAUUUAUGUUCUGCCUUUUUCAGUGUACCUGUUUCGCCUGUGACCCAGCCAUUGUUCGCAUUCACCUACAGGGGCCAACAAUAUACAUGGACGAGAUUGCCACAAUGGUACAGAGAUUUGCCGGCUAUCUUCUCAGCUGUUGUGCACUGUACAUUACAGGAUGUGAAACUGCCACCUGACGCAUGCCUGUUGCAGUAUGACGACAACAUUCUGAUUACUGCUGAAACAUCAGAGAAUUGCAGAAAAGCAGAAAAGCAUAAAUUAUUAAUUGAAGCUACAGUGGGUCAAACAAAAGGUUGAAUACCUUGGACAUGUGCUAGCAAAGGGGACUGUAUGCAUGUCUGCAGAUCGAAUCAAGACAAUUCAACACUGAACAGCGAUGAUGCAAUAUAAUGGACUACGGAAAUGGACUUUGCAUUUAAACAUCUGAAGUAAUGCCUUGGGAAACCACCAGCGCUGGGUCUUCCAGACUACAGCAAGCAUUUCCAUCUGUACAUGCACGAGGCUGGGGGGACUGCUGCUCCAAUCCACGCCCAGGAACAUGGGGGCUCUUACCACCCAGUGGCGAAUUUAUCUAAAACACUGGAUUCUGUUUCAAAGGGCUUCCCUGGUUGUCUGCGAGCAGUGGCUGCAACAGCGAUGAUGAUACAGGAUGCAGAACGAGUUGUGCUUUCACAUCCUCUGACUGUGCAUACAACUCACCAGCAGGUCCUAGUGAAGUGUCUGGAACCAACGAAGCUGGUGAGCACAAGUAUCUGGGUCCAACAACGGUUCUGGCGGUAACCAGGAUGAGGGUACAGACAGAACUGCAACCACAGUGGAUACACGCAAGCCGUAUGAAGCCUGCACCUGGCGAGAGCCUGACUAUUUCGAAAGCAAAUGGUGAAAGUGCUGGAGGAGCUGAACACGCAGCAACAGUGCCUAUCCGGGAACUUGAGAAUUAGAAGGGACGAAGACAUGGAUAGAUGGAUAGAUGAGACAUGGAUAGAUGAUGUUGAUGCACCACAUACCAGUGCUACCAAUUUGUGGUGGAAACUAGCUAACUUUAUGGCAAAAAACACAGGAAAAGAAAGGUAGUUGUUAUGUAUGCAUGCAUAUGCUGCAUAGUGCAUCUACACCAGAGGUAAAAGUAACCUCAUAACACCUACAAGGAACAUGAGUGAUAGGAGACCAAUAUUGGCAAUAUGGUUAUAAUUCGUACACUGCUCUGCUGGAUUGUGGACAGGUAGAUGUGCCAUGGUUGAAUUAAGUAACCACAUCAUGGUGGUCUGAGCUAUUGAGAAAACAACAAACAGAAGAAGAAGUAGCAUAAGUAAACCCUAUACCACACCGAGAGAACACAGGAACAGAGAAAUUGUUUGGAGCACUGUUCCCUCAAGUGGGUGUUACAGUAAUACAGAAAGAAAUUGAAAUGACUAGAUAUGAACUGAUAUCAUUCAUAAAUUCAACAAAAACAACAACUGAUGCAGUACGCCAAGAACUAAAAGGCCUAAGAUUAACAGCGCUACAAAAUAGACUGGUCCUUGACCAAUUAACAUCUGCCAGUGGAGGAGUAUGUGUUAUCAUGGGAACGAGUUGCUGUACUUUCAUUCCAGAAAACGAUGAAGAUGGACAUGCCAUAGAAAUGGGCCUGAAAAACAUGACGAAGAUAGCAGCGGACUUGACAGCAAGAGAAACUGUAAAUUAUGUCAAUGACUUAUUGACAUGGUUAAAUGGUUGAAUUUUUUUUUUUUUUUUUUUUACUUUAAUACCUAUAGGAGUAAUUUUACUUGAUAUAGCAUUACUGAUUUGUUGUGUGAUUCCAUGUGCUAAAGCAUUGGUCAAUAGGACCAUUGAUAAGGCUUUGAAUGCUAAUUACGCUCUGAUAAACCUUGAAGAUGCUGAUAGAAAUGGUUACGGGACACAUUGGGAGGAAUAUGAUGGUAAUGAGUAAAAGAUAGAAUGUAAGGUAAACAAGAUUUGAUUUUUGAAUAGCCAUCUGAGGAACUUGUCUCUUCGAGACAAAAGUGGGCAAUGUGAGUGUUGCAUCGGGGGCGUGGUCAAGCGUCCAUCCGGAGAGAGAGAAAGCGGUAAGGGUGCUUGCACCUGAGCUAAAUUAUGUCUAACACCUGUCUCUACUUACAGUGAGCACGGGGAGAGCGGCAUAAAAGAGCCACACUGCCAGCAGACGAGAGAGAGAGCCUGGGUCCCCAAAGUUAUUAUUGUGAAGCUGAUUAUUAUUGUGACGCUGAAGAGACUAUUAUUGUGAACCUAAGAAUUUAUUAUUGUGAAGCUGAAGAGAUCAGUGUGGUCAUUAAAAGCCUUACCUGUGAGUGGAGCAUCCUGCCUCCCGUGUCCUCCUUAUCGACCGUCCUUACAGUGAGAAAUAGGCCUCAGAUAAGAAUGUACUUCUGUAAGUGAGAGGAAACAACCCCAUAUAUGGAGGAUUGAGGGGGUUUAAGGUAAAGGGUGUAACCAGCCUUGUGUGACAAGAACCAUAUAACCCCAUGCUUUCCUUUAAUAAAUCGAAAAACUGC